rnacentral:rRNA from 1 species
UACGUAGGGGGCGAGCGUUGUCCGGAUUUAUUGGGCGUAAAGCGUCCGCAGGCGGUGGACCAAGUUCGGAGUGACAAUUGGUGGCUCAACUACCAAAGGGCUUUGAAAACUGGUCGACUUGAGGGCUUCAGAGGGAAACGGAACUCCGGGUGUAGUGGUGAAAUGCGUAGAUAUCCGGAAGAACACCAAAGGCGAAGGCAGUUUCCUGGGGAGCACCUGACGCUCGUGGACGAAAGCCAGGGGAG